UGCCCCAGAAUCUUGUUCAAAUGCAGAUUCUAACUCAGCAGGGCUGGGUGGCGCCAGAGACACUACAUUUCCAGAGGGUGCUGCUGGUCCAAGUUCUUGGCUUUGAGAGGAAGGUCUGGGGGUUCUGCCAGGGGCCCCUCCCACACAGGCCGCCUUCAAACAGGCUCGGCCUUGCCCCAGGGGGUAGAAGCCUUGCCAAGAGCCCUCGCCUGUCUGUCACUGUGAAGACAGCAGGGUUGAAAGAUCCUGGAAUAGAAUCUUCCCUCACUUGCACUCCACCACUAAGGGCCCUCCAGUCCUGUCAGCUAACAGGACCAGAAAAGAAUAAUAAAAUAAAUAAAGUCAAACCCUCUGCCGGAGCGUGUGAUGUCCAAGAGCUGCAGCUGGCAUUACUUUGCAGGUCACUGACCCAGUAAUUUGUUCAAUGUCAAAUCCACCCUUUGCCUCCAGACCCCUCGUCUUGAUCUUUUUGCGGGAGGAGCAGCAUUGAAUUGAACUAGUCUUAUCUAGAGGGAGGAUAGCAUUUGCCACGAGUGGCAUCUUUAGGUGUCUCCGCAAACCCCUGUGUCUUGGAGGAAAACAGAGUAUCAGUGGGACGUCAGCUAAGACAUCUGGCAGCCUGGACUUGGUAUUAGGGGGACUAGAGGCCAAGUCGGGGUGGGGGUCGGGGUAGCCAGCGUCAGCCACGGACCCUGGAGACCCUCCCCCUUCUUCCCUCCCCAUCUCCCCCUGAAAGAGCCUGCAUGGGAAAUGGCAAAUCUGCCCUGAAGUUGUCGGCUCUCAACAGGAAAGUCGGGGUGGAGCCCAGAUACCUAGUAGAGACCCCGCCCCUACCCCAAGGCAACUUCGCUAGGAGCUAAGGCAGGAUGGGGAGGAGGGACCAGGGCGCGCUGGGGGUGUGGGAGGCGGGGUGUGAGCGCCCUUUCCUGUCGUUUCAGCCACAACUGAGGCUAUUGCCAGAGGGAAAGUAUUCUGUCCUUCUGUUUACACUCUAUUCUGGGUCCUUCUCCCAACUCAGCCUCCCCGGAGCCCCAAAGCUGGAGCCCGCGGGGCGCUUCCCCCUCCAACCUCCACCAGCCGUGUGUUCUCGGAAGCUGUCAGCGCGUCAGAGGCGGGAGAAAGAGAAGAGGGAUUCGGUCUUUCUCACUUCUUGAGAAACAAAAGCCUCCCGGAGAGUCAACUCUAUACAGAAUGUUGGGGUUUUGUUGUCGUUGUUGUUGGUUUUUUUUGUUGUUGUUUUUUUAAGGGAGGGGUUAGUCUGGAGGGGUGUCAAGCGCUGUCUCUGCUUUUCAUUUGGCGCAAGGGGAGAAUAUUAAAUAUUAAACGGAACAAGCGGUUUCCUAAGACGGUGUAAUUAUCCUCAGCAGCCUAAACCCCAUCUGCCAUCUCCCUUUUCCCAACGCAUUCACGCUGCGUUGAGCACAGCAAACAAGGCCGGGCCACGCGGGUGUCACGAACUUUUGUUUCGGGGACGCCCCCUCCCCAAAGCCCUAGGCGAUGGGGGAAGGGGAAGCCCGCGAUCUCCCAAGCUCUGCCUCUUGCCCAGCCUGCCUGGAUCUCAAAGCAGAAAGAAAUUAAUGCGCACUUAAGUGACGGGGUGAGGAGGACAUUAAAAAGUAGAAUUUGCCUUCGGUUGGGAACUAGAAUCAGUGGGGAAUUGUCACAUGUCCAAGGCAGGUGGCAAAGACCUCAAGUACUAGAAGGGGGCUAAGGGCAGCUGGAAGAAAAUGGAUUUUUCAGCUAGAAACAAGUAUAAGCUGGAGGUCUGCCCCCACCCAGAGGAACUGCCAAGAGAAAUACACUGCCCACCCCCAAAGAAAAGCUAUUCAUAGGAAGAGGGGGAAGGAGGUCAUCAGGUUUCUACCUUUGCCUAUGCAGGUAACAUUGCAACAAGGAAAUUAAGAGUAGAUUCCCUGCAGGACUCUGCCCGCAGGAUCCACGCCUCUGCAAGAACUGCUCACUCACCUGUAUCGCAUCGGCUCCGGGGCUCAGGCUGUUUGGUUAGUGAGCAUCAAAGCGAGUCCUCCAGCUGUCUCGAGGGUCCCACCUUGUCAGUACCCAGGGGUCCAAGCCAGCUGAAGCCCACACAUCCAUUGCCUGCCCAGUGGAAAGGAAAAGGCCCCCCGCCCCCCGACAGGAGAGAGAAAGGGGGCUGCCAAGAGCAGUCGGGCUCUGAGCUGAGGGCUCCCCACAAAGGCAGGCGCCAAGUGGGGCUGCUGUGCCAGCUGCCAGGGAAGGGGAGGGGAGAGAGAAGGAGGAGGUGUCCCUGAUGCUGGGAGGAGAGAGAGGAUGGCUAGAUCUUCAGCUCCUGAUCAUCUCCAGCAAAGUAUUGCGCGGGGACCCAGCACGGGGAGACAAAUCCAGACCCCCAUCACUGCUCCUGGGAGCAGGGUUAAUAAAGAGAUUUCUUACUCUCUUCUCUCCGCCCCUUAACACUGCACUGUGACCUUCCAGCUGAGGGCAGGACUCUAGUCUCUGGAAGGAUGCUGUUUAUCCCCCCUCUACCUCUUUUCAGACUGGCUUCUGUUAAGGUGCAGAGGAAAAGUGGUAAUAGGAGAGCUCUCCUGCUUCCACUUAGGGGCUUUGCGGAGGGGGGCGGGGGUGUAACAGUAGCGUAAAGCAGCAGGGAUGUGGAAUCACACUUACAAUUUAACCAUCUCCCCUCCGCCAGAUUGCAACCUAAAUUAUUUAUGCCUUUAUAAAAACACUCAUUAGAGGACAGCUGCUAACUCCCUCCCAGAGUCUUUUCUGUUCAUUCUUAAAACAGCUUCUUCCCUUACCCUCAGCCUCCUCCCUUAAGAUAGAGUGGGUUGUAUGCUUUGAACAGAAAGGCAGAGAGAAGAAAAAAUGAGUUUUCUUAUGCAAAAGGGCAAUUGAUUGCAAGUUUGCUACAUGUGUAGACUUAGCAAAAACUGAGGUGGCCCCCUUUCUCUUUUUCAAAGGGGCUCCUUUUAAAAGUGAGCAUUAUGUUUUUACUUUGAAGAGGCAUCUAGAACACAGAGAAGCCCCAUGUUUUUCCCAAGGUGAAGUCAAAGUGGGAGGAUCUACAUUACUGGGGAAAGUGGCAUUGUUUAGACAGAAGCAAUCAAACCUGGGCUAGGGUCAGGAGAUCUUAAAGAAUUAGUGUUCAUUUUAUAAAGUCUGGUGGUGGUACUGUGAUUAUGUUGUUCAUCUGAUAGAGAUACAUAUUGAAGUAUUUAUGGGUGAGUGACAGGAUAUUUCCAGGGAACCACCAAACACCCAUUGACGGAUGAAUAAAUGUGGUCCCUCUGUAGUAGGGAAGAACAAACCCGACUCCAUACUGGAUCUGUUUCUUUCACUUUAACUUUUGCCCUUUAUUGCUUUUGCUGCAGAUUAUAGCCUGAAAUAUACAAGACAGCCCAUUCUCAGGGCUCUGACUUUAACACUUUUGCAUUUCAUAUAGAAAUAAAAAGUUGCAGAACAGAGAAUAACAUUUUUUCUGGGUGGAAGUUUGCAGGAACAUUGUGACCAGACCUCCAUAGACAGCUGCAAGAAAAAGGGUUCUGGAGUUCUCUUGUGGUGCAGGGGGUUAAGGGUCCAGUGCUGGCACUGCAGCAGCUUAGGUCACUGCUGUGGCACAGGUUUAAUCCCUGGCCCAGGGACUUCCACAUUUGGCGCAGCCAAAAAAAAAUGUUCAAGGAGUUCCCUUCAUGGCUCAGUGGUUAACGAAUCCGACUAGGAACCAUGAGGAUGCGGGUUCAAUCCCUGGCCUCACUCAGUGGGUUAAGGAUCUGGCAUUGCCGUGAGCUGUGCUAUAGGUCCCAGAUGCGGCUUGGAGCUGGCGUUGCUGUGGCCGUGGUGUAGGCUGGCAGCUGUAGCUCAGAUUCAACCCCUAGCCUGGGAACUUCCAUAUGCUGCAGGUGGGGCCCUAAAAAAAGAUGAAGCCCUGAUACAUGUUACAACAUGGAUGAACCUUGAGAACUUUAUGCUGAGUGAAAGAAGCCAGAGACCACAGGUCACAGAGUGUACGAUUCCACUUAUAUGAAAUGUUCAGCAUAGGCAACAACACCACAGAGACAGAAAGUACACUAGCAGUUGCCAGGAGCUGGGGAGGGGGUGCCUGCUGGUGAGUACAGGGUUAACUUUGGAGGUGAUGGAAAUGUUCUGGAACUAGGUAGAAGUUGUAGGAUACCUUGAAUGUACUAAAUGCUCUGAAUUGUUUGCUUUAAAAGGGUUAAUUUCAUGUGAUGGAAAUUUCAUGUCAAUUUUUUUAAUGCAACAAAAAAAGAGAUGGGGGAAAUAAACAGGAUGAGCAGAAAGUUACUAAUUGAGGAAGCUGGGCCAUGGUGACAAGUGGGUUCAUUGUAGUUUUCACUGUAUUCUCUCUGCUUUGUGUGCGCUUGAAAUUUUCCUUUGUAAAGCAAGGUGGAACAGGAAGACUGCAGCCCGGGAGGGUGGGUUUCUGAACCAACGGGCGUGGGACGGAGGUGUUGCCGAAAUCUUGGCUACCUCUGUACACCGAUGCCAAAUAGAAAUGCAGAGACAGAGUCGGAGGAAACAGAAAAAGUAGCUUUAACUGCCAGGCAGAGAGGGGAACACAGCAGACUAAAGGAUUGUGCCCCUGCCCCACUUUAGAGGGGGUAGUGAGGAGUCUUACAGUGUUUGAGGAGCAGGGCGUGGUCAGCUCAAGGACAAUUUCCUGAUUGGUGGGUGGUGAGGUAAUUGGGAGUCCAUGUCAUCAACCUUCUGGUUCCAACCAGCCUGAAGUCUAUGUGCUUGUGGGCAGCAUACAGGUGACUUCUUCUACCUGGAUGGGGCUUCAGCACCUGCAAAACAGCUUCAAAGACAUGGCCCAGAAUAUUAUUUAUAGUCUUUGAAGAACUGAAGGUCGUUGUCUUUGUUGAAUGGCUGAAUUAUUAUGACUGUUUUCUUUUUUCUCGUUUUUUUUUUUUUUUUUUUUUUACUUCUCUGAUUAAGUUCAUUCUUUGGGAGUUUCGUGGUUCAGUGGUUAACGUAUCCAACUAGGAAUCAUGAGGUUGCGGGUUCAAUUCCUAGCCUUGCUCAGUGGGUUAGGGAUCUGGCAUUGCCAUGAGCCGUGGUGUAGGUUGCAGACAUGGCUUGGAUCCCGUGUUGCUGUGGCUGUGGCGUAGGCUAGCAGCUAUAGCUCCGAUUAGACCCCUAGCCUGGGAACCUCCAUGUGCCAUGGGAGCAGCCCUAGAAAAGGCAAAAAGACAAAAAAAAAAAAAAAAA
rnacentral:lncRNA from 1 species